rnacentral:lncRNA from 1 species
GGGGCUUCGGUGGCCAAGUGGUUAGCGCACUUGCCUUUCACCUCUGAGGCUGCAGGUUCGAGUCUCACUAAGUACCUUCUCAGUGCGACCCGAACCCAGUCCCCAUGCGAAAAGAGUAAAAAGUCAACGCUCUGCCGAAAGCCGUGGGUUUUCCCCGGGUACUCCGGUUUCCUCCCACAGGGAAAGUUGACAGGGUGGGUUAGGUAAAAAGGGCCCACAGUAAUUGGCAUAUGCUGUUGUGGUGACCCUGCCCUAGUUGGCAAAGCUAAAUAAAUAAAU